UUGAAGCGAUGCGGGAUGGGGAUCGAAUCUGGGGAGAAAAUAUACUUUCUAGUGUUUGGGAUGGUUUCAGGGAUUAAGUGUCUGUAUGUAUGGGCUGAGUAGGCACAAUCACAUCAUUAUCAAAAGUAAAGGUAGCUGGAUUUUCUGAUCUGGCUGCGGCUUUUGAAAAUUUGUGAAUUGGGGAUUUUGCCGCCUCCACCCAUACCAUACAGACCCUUAAUCCUGAAUCCAAAGCUCUGAGAGGGAGACAGAGAGAGAGAGCACUUUGUUUGUUUGUUUGUUUGCAAGUUGACCAACACACAUAUGCACUCUGAUUUGCAAUCCUUCCUUAUUAUAUUUUGAAGAUUUCAGUUGUUUCAGGCUCAAAUUAGCAGCAAGUACUGCUCCGAGUAGAUGUCUUUUAACUGGUUUGAUUAUGUUUACGGCAGAGUUUUUUUAUUUUCUUUCCUCGAUUAACAUCUGCAGAUGACUCUUCCUGAAAAUAUGAAUUGGGGAUCUAGACCUCACAUCUUAAGAUUUCAGUUGUUUCAAGCCCAAAUUUAUCAGCAAGUACUGCGCUGAGUAGAUGUCUUUAACUGGUUUGAUUAUGUUUACGGCAUAGUUUUUUUUUAUUUUCUAACAUCUGCAGAUGACUCUUCCUGAAAAAGCCGGUUGCAAAAAAACCUAUGAAGUCAGGUGCAACCAUUAAGACAGAGGUGAGGAUGAUGCAUUAUGAGGAUGUAAUGAAAUUAGUUGGUGAAAAUGUCUAUUUCACUAUGCUUGAUCACCGUUGCUGCUCUUCUCCGCCCACUUGCUGAAACAAAAACCGUGGGUAGCCUAGGUAUUCAGUAGGGCAGUGCAAAACUGGGAACCAGAUAAUGAGGACAGCUCUUCGAGCUGGUAAGCAAGAUACUGAACGCAUUAUACGAUCUGUGUAUAAAUGCUCUUCAACAGAGAGACAGGCAUGAUGUCUGAUUGAUGUUUCCAUUUGAUAACCACUAUGUCCGGUUAGAUUAAUUGUUUUUAAAGAUCGACCAUCUUCUUUUCA